CCUACGGGAGGCAGCAGUGGGGAAUGUUGCGCAAUGCUCGUAAGAGUGACGCAGCGACGCCGCGUGAAUGACGAAGGCCUUCGGGUCGUAAAGUUCUUUCGACAGGGAAGAAAAUGCCUAUAAGUAACUGUGUAUGUAUUGACGGUACCGGUAGAAGCAGCCCCGGCUAACUCCGUGCCAGCAGCCGCGGUAAGACGGAGGGGGCGCGCGUGGUUCGGAGGGACGGGGCGUAAAGGGCACGUAGUCGGGGUGGUAAGUCAUUAGUCAAGGACUAGCGCUCAACUUUAGUAAGGCUAGUGAUACUCUCAUCCUAGAGUAUCUGCGAGGAUUGC
rnacentral:rRNA from 1 species